GACGAACGCUGGCGGCGUGCCUAAUACAUGCAAGUUGAGCGCUGAAGGUUGGUACUUGUACCAACUGGAUGUGCAGCGAACGGGUGAGUAACUCGUGGGGAAUCUGCCUUUGAGCGGGGGACCACUUUUGGAAACGAAUGCUAAUACUGCAUAAA
rnacentral:rRNA from 1 species